rnacentral:lncRNA from 1 species
UAGAACACAAAUACAUAAAUUUUAAUCUGAGAAAAAUACAAAAUGAAACCAUGUACAAGUUAUGUACAAACUCUUUUUACAGGACAAUAGAUUUAUCACUGGAUAUUACAUAUGACAAAGUCAGGUAGAUCAUUUCUGAGCACCAGCAUUUGUUCUCUCUCACCAACCCAUAAUAGUAAAAGUAAAAUGAUGAAGUCAUACUCCUUUUUCUUGAUGAACUUCUAAGUUAAGAUGGAUAGCUGGUUCUCAGUGUACCCGCCCCAUUACCACUCCCAAAUUAUAACUAAAUAGACACGUGUAGCCGUCAAAAUAUAUUGUAUAUACAUGUUUGCAUGUGUGUGGUUUUUUUCCCUGAAGGAACAAAAAAAAAACCCCAAACCUAUCAGGCUUGAACUCUACAGAAAUGCAAAAGUUAAAGUUAUAUAAACUUUCUUUUUUUGAACAGGGGUUAGAUUAUUUGCAUUGGCUAAGCGUGUGUGUCCCAAGCUAUACCAUGGCAGAAGCAGCAUUUUUUAACUGCUACUUAAGGAAAAUUUGAGAUAACUUCUGCUGACAUUUUCAUGUGGUUCCCGUUAGCUAUUGUCCAGUCAAAAAAGUGCCCAUAUGUCAGAUUUUUGGUUUCUGAAAUACCUGUUUUCUAUUACGUGUAUUAAAAUACCUACAUGUCGUGUUGUGUUUAACAUUUUUUUUAAAGUUACAAAGAUCGCCUCUAAAGCGUAUUGACUGAAGCAGUAAAAAGCUUUCUCUCAACCUCACUCAGGUUCUAAUUAGAUGCAGCGUUACCAUGUUUAGCAUCUUAAGCCAGAUAUCAUUCUAAAUUAGACUCAAAGUGAUAAAAAUGUAUUUUAUAUUUUCUUCUUUCCCCCUACCCCUUCUCAUUUUGACAGUUAACAGUAGUACACCAUUAUAUAAAACAGAUACAUUAGACCAGCGGUCCUAUCUAUUAACUUCAGUGGAAUUUACUUGGUUAUAGAGACUACUGCACAUUAUAGACUAUACAGUUUCAAAGUGACUGCAUGUUCUAUAUCAGAGAAUAUCUGUGCUGAAUAGAUAUAUUACUUAUAUAAAUAUAGUUUUGAUAAAUGCUGGGGCAGAAUUGUCAGUACUAUAAGCCUGCGUACCAUCCUCGGUAGUGGCCACAGCUGAACAGCUACUCUAUUCUUUCAAUUAUUAUUUCAGAAGGGGGCUGUACCCACACCUACUAGUUUUGCUUAAUACAAAAGUACUAUGAACAUUAUGCUUGCUAAGCUGAAUAUUAGGAAACCUGCUAUGUAUAUAUAACAAAUUAAAAAAAAACAAACAUCAAAAAAACCCCAAACCAAAGCAAACCACAAAAACUAUAUCCCCUAAGACUAGGAUUUUUCAAACAUCCUUAGAAUUAAAAAAAUAAAGUUUAGAAAGUGCUUCUUCAUAUGUUGGGGAUAUUGGUGGUUCACAUGGCAGGGAGAGGAAAACAAAAGAAGGAAUACAAAGAACUUUCCUUUCCCCUGAAUUUUUCUAUGCAUCUGCCAUUGACUUUGAUAGGUAUUCCCAGGCCAAUCCGCUGUAACACAGACAAAGGAUUUCUGUUUUUACUUUGUCCUGUUAUUGCCUUUCACACACUUGGGUAUUUUGUUUAAGCACAUUUAAAACUAGAAAUGAAAGGUGAGACACACACUUCUUUUGAUGCUAAAGAAAUUCACAAACAAAAUACCAAAAUAUCACACACACCCUGACCUCAAUAUGUGUUCAUUUCAAAUGCACUGUGAUCUAGAAGUCUUUACAAACCUGCUUCUUGAUAAAACCAUUUAAGCUCCUACUCUGUGUUUAACUUGAGUCCAUGUGAAUCUAGAACAGGGCAGUUGCUAACGUUUAUGGAUUCACUGGUGAGUGACCAAGAAGUGAAAAGAUGCAUAAUUACCCAUUUGUAAAUUAUUGCUUUUAUUGUCAUGCAUUAGUUUAUGCAUCCAGUUAUUGCAGUAGGUGUUAGAUGUAGUUUACACACACAGAAACCCCAACAAAACAUGUCCUCUGUGAAUGAGAACACACUACUAUACUUUCUCCUUCUACUCUAGAGGUCAAGAAAUUCAAAUCUUCCUUACAUGGGCCAAAACCUCCAACAAAAACAACAACUUUGACCACCACCACCCAACAACCUAUAAUAAAAGGCUAUAGACAAUACUUUUGUAGUGUCUCUUGGACAUUGUAUGCAAACUAUUUUUCCCUCUUUCCACGUUUGGCUGAGUCCAAUUAAGUCUUUUCAAACCCAUGCUGCCUGAGCCAUUGAGUGGCCUUUUUCUAUAGAAUUCAAAAGUAGGAGAACAAAAUAUCUUUAGUAUGGCUAAACCUGGCUGCUUGUACAGCCUGUAAGAUGCUGAAGACUCAUCAGCUCUUUCAAGACACCUGUGCAGCUUAAUAAGGCUACCUGGGCUCCUCAUUAUCUUGAAACUCAUGGCCUUCACCCUUUAUAAGCAGCACUGGGUUUCCCACCAAAGAUGAACUGGAAAUAGCUACGUGCUUACAUUUGCUUGAGGACCUGGCUGUGUUGCAUUGCUCUCACCCCCCUGCUUUCUCUAUCCCUAUGUUCCUGGCUUUUGGGCAAGUAAGGCUUAGAAGGUUCGUUUGAGUUACAGGUAGAAUAACAAUGUUGUCCAUGAACCUAUAACACUGUAUAAUUCAUUGUGCACUAGAUCAAGGUAUUUGUACUUCCCACCACGUGCGUCCUGCUGAUUUAAAAGAAGAGGAGCUGUUAAAAUACAGGUGACAGGUUUAGGAAGUGUUUGCAAAGCACAAGGAAAGCUUUGCAUCUCUUUUUUUUUCCCUAUUAUAAAUGCAUUAUAUAUGUAUCAUCUUAGAAGCUGCAGUAAGACAGUCACAUUGAGGCCUCAAAAAUUGCAUUUAGAUUCUGAAUAUCUUCUUUUCUUUACACCUUAGCUUUUGCUGUGUUGGGCACUUGCAAAGCAAACAAUGUCCCAUUGGAGGACAGUUUUGUCCUUUCAUCUUAAUGCUCAUGGGCUUCAGGAAACAAAUUAAAAUAAUAGCCACGAGACAGAGAGACAGCAGGCUUUCUGGCAAUGUGGGAGCAUGCAUGUUCAUGGGUGUGAGGAGGGGGCCAGGAGCACACACCUGCUUCAGCAGUGAGAGAGGGUUCUGUAGUAUACUCUCAGUGCACCACUAAUGUAACUAACAAGAAUGGCUGCUUUUUGGUCAAACCAGAAGGAAACAGUAGGUACAAUUCCUCCCUGUGGUAGCCUGUAAGUAAGUCAGUCACACAUUUUCUUUUUCUUUGUGUCUUUCUUCACCCAUCGCCCACCCCGAAAAAAAUAAUGACCACCUUCUUGUGAUGACUCUGUAUCAAAUACAUACCCCCCCCAUAUAUAAGCAUGUUUAUAUCCACACAUAUGUAUAUGUGUGUAUGUGUAGACAUGCAUAUAUGCAAAUACAGACACACAUUUUAUCCAAUGCAUGAGUUGCCAAUAAAAAAUAAUUGCUUAGCCUGUAAUAAUUGUGUAUACAAUUAAUGAAAAAGCUGAAAUCUACCCCCCACCUUGUUUUUUGAGAAAGGAAUAAGAAUUAUCAAUAAAUAUCAAAAACUUAUUCUACAUCAGUUGUCACAUGGUCUGCCAGCUGCUGCUUAUGCCACUUUCCCAGCUACUUGCCCUGGUGUAACUUCAUAUAUCCAAAAUCCAAAUACUGGUGCUGGCCUUAUUUUAGUCUUUAAUGGCUAAACUUCAAAGAUCUCCAACAGGUUUUCUCCAUGAUCCUCCAUCUAAUUGCCAGAAGUCGAUCCUCUGUCUUUGAUCAUCAAAAAGAGGAGUAAGAAAAGAUUAAUUGCUCUUAGCUUUUCUAGAAAUGGGAAAUGCAAACUAUACCUCUCUGCCUGGCAUGCUUUCUACAGGUGGUGUUCUGUCUUUCUAUCAUUACAUACGGAGCCAUCUGUGCUGGGAGAGAGCAUGAGUGUAUGCAGAUCUUGUCCUUUAUUUAAGUACAAUGACAGCAUGAUAUAUUUGAGUGGGACAGUUAAACUGGACAGAGACACACACAAACCUUAGCUAAGUAGGGGUGUUGUAUUUGCUUCAUUAGUAUGUUUUAUCCAGUGAAUGCUCACUUCUGAAGGAAGGACACUCAGAAAUGGCACUGUAUAUGAUAAAGUAUAAGAUAGAUGUAAUGUUUUAUGAUGUCCCUACAGUAAAAGACUGGUCUUCUAAGAAAAAAAAAAAAUAAAAAAUUCACAUGUACUUGGUGAAGUUGAACACAAAGUUCAAACAUUCUCCUGUACUCAGGACCAGCUUUUUUCACUCUGGUUAUAAUACGAAUGCAGUUCAUAAAUGAAAAAGGAGCACUGACUUCAAAAUAAAGGCUUAACAUGACCCAACACAGAAGCUGGAUAUAAAUUAUAAUGUAUCACUAGCUGAAGCAGCAUAGAUCAGAAGAACUGACCAGAAUAAUCUUCUGUUUGAGGACAGUGAAAUGGGUUAAACAUGGUCUAAAUAAUAAUGAAAACCUGCUUAAAUUAUUUUGUUACUUUGUAGGAGAGUGAAAUAUUUUAAACAAUCCAAUUUUACAGCUACUGUAUUAACAAUUCUUGUAUUGUCUUUAAAUAGCUAUUCUACAAAAUGUAACAACAAAGUAGUCACAGUCCAAGAAGUCACUCCAGAAUAAACUCUAUUAGGUGUUACUAUGGUUAUAUUUGUACUGCAGCCAGUGGACAAACAUUAAAGCUGAGAUAGUUUAGCCUAAAUGUUGGAUUAUAUAGUGGACAUCAUUGUUUUCACAACAAAUUAAUCAUCUGCUUUGUAUUUGUUUGAUUCACUGAUAUUUCUUUAAUGAUAGUAUGUUUUAUUGUGGUGUUUAACAAUUCUGCAAAAUUACAAAGCCUAAAGUUAACUUGCACAAUGAAAAUCUGUCUUUCCUGAUGACUGUGGUUUUUGUUUAAUCCUUAUUAGCACAGCCUUUUCUGGUUUGGUUUUUUUUGGGGUUUUUUUUUUUUUUGGUGGUGGUUUUUUUUUUUUUGGUCACACAAUUGUGUUAGAUUGUUGCUAAUUUGAGACAGAGAGAGUUACUAAAUCAUUUAAAACAGCAAAUACUUGGGUGGAUAGAUACUGCAGCACAGAUAUGAAACAUCAUAUUUUUGUCUGAUGGCUAUGAAGCUUGUCGGCAACUUUGUGAAACUGCUGAUACAAAAGGCACCCAUCAAAGGCCUUUUGUAGAUUAUUGUAAUAAAUACAUUCAUUACCUUUAUUUUGAUUUGGUUAUUACUGUAUUUUAUGUGUGGUGUCCCAACAAAGGAAAAAUUGAAUUAAAAAAUAACAAAAAAACCCAAACAACCUGCCCCCAAAAACCAAACACACCCCCCCACCCAAAACAAAACAAAACCCCAAAAAACCCCCCCAAAAAAAACCCAACUUCUAAAAUAAGAUGUUACUUGGUUCAGGAAUUAACUGAGAACAGCAUGUUGUGAGAUUACAGAGCUGAGGCUAAGCCAAUUUUUAAUCCUCAGCUGAACUCACCAAAAGGAGAUUCCGUGUGCCUUUUACCAAGGUAUGAGCUAUCACCAAAGUGCAAAGAUCUGGAGCUAAACCUUUAUACAUAUCAGGAAGAAUUUGAACCAAAUAAAUAAACAAGAUUGAUGCAAGGCUGUCAGCACUUCUGAAGUAAGGAAGCAACAAAAUAUAGUAGAUGUGAAGGUUUAUAACUUAUGAUUUCAUGCACUAUUUAUGCACUCUGGUUUAAAGCACUGUAAUACAUGGCAAAAGAAGAGGAAUUGCCAAGCCUGACUUCUGGAAAUUAGCGACUGCUGAUGGCUAAUGGGAAGUGGAGUGGAAUUGACAGAUUUGCCAUUUAUAGAAAGUGCUGCCCAGGAACACAUGAUCUACAUGGUACUCAGUUUAGAGUAGUGAUGUUCACUAAGCUAGUGUCGCAGGAGGUUAUUGAGGAUGCUGGGCUUCUGUCUGUGUAUGUGGGCACGUAGCAUGGGAGCGGGGUGCAGUGUGUCUGUGGGGGGUUAUUGGACCUUAACAUAACUGGCAAUUAAGAUGAGCUGUAUAUGGUAAUAAAACGAAGAAUAUUUCAGAAUGUUACAUGUACAAAAAUAUGACUUUCAAGUUUGAAAAUAAAUAAGUUCAGUUUAUUAAGAGCUGGUGUCAAUGCUGAACAAAAUACACAUCCUCCAGUAAAGAAGGUGAACUGGUUUUU